CAGACCCUACAGAUCGUGGUUACAGGAUUUCCAUUGCAAUUUGCAACAUUCUUGUGAUAAUAUAUUUUCCCCCUUUCACCGUCCAAAGUGCCUGCUAAUACAAUAACAAUUUGCAUAAUUUUAUUUUUGUGUAAUUUUUGCUCGACAUUUCUUAAUUAUUUACAUUGUUGUCGUCUCGUACCUGGAUGAUUUUACGGCCUUCCAAAUCUUCGCAAUAAUCAGUGUAAAUCGAUUCGUUUUUAUCGCCGUCUAAUAGUGCAUGCUGUAAUUUUAGGAGAACGCGUAUUAUAAAGGUUUGUUAAUUCAGUGUCAUUAGUUUUCUAUAAACCCACCCAAUUUGUUUUAAAACAAUAACACAGUUCAUAUUUGUUUUGAAGUGAUUAUUAUAACUAUUGUAUCUAAGAUUCAUUAUCACUGACGUCGACAUUUUUAUAAAUCCUUUGUCAAUGACCUACUUAAUUUUAUACCAAUUAGGUUCCAUUGAUUUUUGUCGACUCGGUAUUCUUGUUUACUCUCGGGAAUCGGGAUCGUUUUAUAGAUAUUAUUAUACAUUUUAAUAUAUUAUACUAAAAUAUAUAAUUUAUUUUAAUAUAUCUGGAUCAUAUGUGUUGCGAGAGUAUGAUGCAUAAAGUACUCUAUGGUAUGGCGUCUUGUCAUAGUUGCUCGAUAAAUAACUCCAUAAACUAAACUCUUAGUUGCGAUAAACAUUCACAGGAUUGCCAGUUGAUAUUAGUGCCAUUUUAUUUACCCCUGUCAAUAUUCAAUAUGGCAUAUCGAAUAUAUUUUAAUCUCAUUACAAUAAGAUAUAAAAGAAAGAAUUUAGAUUUAGGUAUAUGUUGAUUUUCAAACAAUGUCUAUCAGUACCUAUACCUAUCUAGUAUAGAUAAAAAAAACAUUUGUACCCUUUAUUUUAGACAAGUUCUUGUAGGUAUUGAGAUUUUAUGAUUCAAUAAUUAGCUUUAAACUACCUUGAUCAUUUUAAAAUAAAACUUAAAAUUCACAGUUAAAUUGUAAAGUAAGUGUGUUAUUUUCUAAAACUUCUUUUUAUAUUAUUUUAAAUAGGUAUUAAUUAUAAUUAUGGCUGAUCAGAGUCAAAAUCAAGGAACUCCUAGAACCAGUACUCAAUAUUCAAACUGGUCCCAACCAAUGAAUUGGUCUUACGGAAGGUAAGUUUUUUUUACCUUAAAUUAAUGGAGUUUUUAUAAUUUAUAUAAUUAUCUUAAUACUAAGUACCUAUAGAACAAAUUUUAUUUUUACUAAACUUGCACUUAAUUUUUAUUUCUUGAAUUUAAUAUUACAUUAAUUAGAUUUUUGGUAAAAAAUGAUAAAAGUUAUUAUUUUGAUUACAAUUUUUUUAGAUUUGGAGUAUAACGAAGAAGUUAUUAGUUUUACAAAGAUAUUUUUUUCUUGGAAAACCUUUAUGGUUAGUUAGUUAAUAUAACUCUUUUUAUGCUGCACCUUUAAAAAUGAGAAAUUUUUUAGUCAGUGAUAUUUCAUUUGAAAUAUUUUCAAUUGUUCACCCUAUAAUACUUCUUUUGAUCUUUGAUAAUUUUUGGGCUACCUUGAUAACAUUGUAAAAAGCACGAUUAAUACUACUCUACAAAGAUUGGUUUUUUGUUUUCUAUGAUUUAUUGUUGCAUAUAGGGUAUAAACUAAAUUACCCUAUUCAUACUAACUUUUGAAUUAUUCACCUAUAACAAAAGCCUACCCUAGAGUAUAUCCUAGUUUUUGAAAGGUAAUCUUGUAAGUCAUUAGUAAUUAAUUAUUAUAUUAAUAUACCAGAUAACAGUAUAGUUAAAGACAAAGUUGUAAUUAACUAUAGACUAAAAAAAACAAGUCUUAGAUUAAAAUUUACCAAUACAAAAAAAAAAAUGUUUAAUUCAAAGGAUUGUGGCUCUAGGAAUAAUAUUAAUUGAAUUACUUAAUUUUAAUACUUAUGUAUGACCAAAACUUAAAACUAGAGUAUUUAAAUAAAUAAAAAAAUGUAUUUAAUAGAAAGAUGAUUAAUUAGUUUAAAUGUAUAAAUAGGUAAUAUUUAUAUUUUAUAUUUAAAUAAGUUUUAAUAUGAGGUGUGGUAUUUUAUUUAAAUAUCUGCUAAGAUUUUGGUUUGGUAUUUUAAUUGUUUUACUAUUAUUGUAAAUUGUACAAUUGAUGAAAAUUAUAUGCAUUUGUUGUCUCUCAGUUUUUCUAAUUGUCAAUAUGGUAAAAAUUUGUUUUUGUACUUCUUAUUGUACACAGACCUUAUUGGUUGUAUAAAAUUGAUUUUGGUGUUAAAAUAAAUAUUGGAAGUUGUGUCUAUAGAACACUUUAGAUUUUGAGUAAAGCAAGGAUGUUUUGGUUUUACUAUGAUGUUUAUUAUUUUUUAUACUGUGUAUAAACAUUCUACCAGAAAUCUUGCUCACUGUUUCUAAAAGGAAAUAUUCCUGGGGUGAUCCAUUAAAGAGGUCAGUUUUUGAUUUCCCAAGCAGUUUUCAAAAAAAUUGUGAAAAAAACAUAAUAAUAAACAUAAUAUACUUUUAUUUACAUUUUGUAAAAUUUCUUAUGUUACUUAUUACAAAAAUCAAGUCUAUAUGACUAACAAAGUGGACUGUGUACUAAUAGAUGUAUGUGUAUAAACAUAUUUUUACCAUGUUGUCCAGUAGUUGGAGAAGAUUAAUUCAUGUUUGGGGUUUUUUUCAAUGUAGAAUUGUAGUAUCUAUUUGAAUACCUAAUAUAUAUUAAUUUUCUUAAUUUUACAGUUAUGCUGCACCACAAAUGUAUAACAUGAGUGCGUUUUAUGGAGCACAAUGCUAUAAUCAGGUAUUUCUUAAAUUUUCUUAAAUUUAUUUUAAAUCAAUUAUUUUUCAUGUUUUUAUAUUUUUUUUUUAGCAAGGAUAUCAACAAUUUUCAAACCAACAACUGAAUUGUAACUAUAAGUCAUUUGUUCAUGGAGGUAAAAUAUUAACUUGGUUUAAAUAUUGAAUGAUAAUAUUAUACACAUUGACGGUGUUUAGUUAAAAGAGCGUUUAUCAAAUUUUACUUUUUUUCAGGAAGUAAAAAAUAUUUUGCAAAAAAAAAGUAUAACAGUUUAGUUUUUAAUGAUGUUUAUUAUUGAAAACAAUAAAAUUACUCCUUGUAUUUGUAAUCAACUUUGUAUAUAAAGUAUACAUGCAUUGAAUGUGGUAUACGCCCUUUUAACAAAUCUGUGUUGAUUUAAUUAUAUUUUUAAAAGUCGCCUGAAUAUCUUUUAGUUGACAUUACCAACUUAAUUUUCUGUACUUAAAUAGGUUCUUUUACCAAUUUAUGCUCCUAAUUUUUCUGAUAUUUUUGGUAUCAAAUCAAAAAUGUAUUUUUCGAAUUUUUAGUGGUGUAUACCCUUUUAACAAAACACCAUUGGUAUUUUGUAUGUAGGACUAUUAAUGUAAUGCCUUUUAACUCCCCUAACAAGAAAUACUUGUAUGCAUUACAAUUUUUUACUUUAUUAUUUUAUUAUAUUUUCUAAAUAAUGUAUGAGACAAAAUUUGUAUUUUUAAUAAUUUUGAAAUAAAUAAUAUUCUUCAUAAUAAUUAUUCAGAUGUAUUAUGACUUAUGAUAAUAAAACUUGUACUGAGCUGUAUCAAUUGUAUUUUUCAUUAUUUAUUAAACAGUAAAUCUAGUAUUUAUAAAUAUAUCUGAUUGAUUUUGCUCGGCAUGAUGCUACUCAUUGUCUUAAUUUUGCUAAAACUAUUAGCUAGCUUUUAUGAGUAUUCAAUAAUUUGUUAUAUUUAUAAUACAAUUUUUUUAGCAUGUAAAAAUAUUAAAACAAAAGUUCAAAUUUGAACUUUGGACCCAAGAGGUACAUAAAGCCCUAAAAUGAUUUUAAAAUUAUAAAAUACAAAAUUAAAUUUAUUAUCAAUGCUUAUUUUCAGGGACUUUAGAAACUUCUACUACAGCACAAAAAAGUGGUCCAUCAGAUAAUUCUCCUCCUUUACCAAAUGGCCCAGCUCCUUCACAACCUCCUCUGCCUCAAUUUGAUAGUGAUGAUUUAGAUAAACUACCACCUCUGCCUCCUGGUUCUCCACCACCAGUUUCAGGAAUAUGUGAUGUACCACUACGUAAGUAAUUAAUUACAUACAGUACUGAUGUUAUAUAUAUAUAUAUAUAUAUUUAAUUUUUAAUUUUAUCAGAUAGUAAAUGAAUUAAAAUAUUAAAAUAAAAUUGUUAUUAUUAUAUAAGUUAAAGUACCGAUUUUCCAAAUUUUGUAAAAUUGAAAACUAUUUUAAAUAUUUUAAUGACUAUCUUAAUGAAAAUACUUUUUCACUUAUUUCCUGCUUGAUCUCUAUUUAUGGGAAAAGGGUAAGGCCAUUUCUAAAGACAAAUAUAGAUAUAGGAAUAACACACAAUCAAUUUAAUGUUUUAUACCAUUUAUUUUUAAACUAUUAAUCAACUACAGUCUACAUUAAACUCAAAUUUAAAUAAUGGUAAAAAAUAUUUGUGUAUAUUCUAUUAUAAAUAGACUAGUGAAAGAUUAUCAGUUUUUUAAAAGGUCUUAGUGAUAAAAUGUAACCUAACUGAAAGAGGGCUGUUCUGUAUUUUAUUUAUAUAUUCCCCAUUAAGCAUUUUCCUUGGUUAGACUUUCUAUUUUUUUAAAGUGGGUGAAGAAAUGAUUUUUCAUCUAUUAUGACUAAAUAAAAAGAAUAAAAAACUAAAAAUUAAAAAGUAAAUAUCAAGGAAAUAUGACAAUAAAAUAUAUUCAUUAAGCAUGAGAUACUUUUUACAUGUUGAUAGGGCACUAAUACAAACAUAUGAGAUGGUCAUCAAAAAUUAAUGUUUAAGAGGUGGUUCAUGACUAAUAAUACAUAAAAAGUGUUUUAUUAAAUUUAUGUAAUUUUUGCCUAUUUUUAUUCAUACUUAAAAAUAUUAUUUGCAGAGUUUUUAAAUAGUUUUUCUUUAUAGCACCUCAACCAAAUUUACGGUCUUUACCACCUAUGCCUCAGACUAAAAAUGGCCGAAAAAAAUGGCGAAAAAAGCAAAGGAGUUUAAUGGAAGCAAUAGGCGCAAUGACUAAUAAAUCUUCUCAAAUAAUUCCACAAAUUCCUCACGCAUAUACAAAUUUAAAUUUUGUUUCUCCUGUACCUAACUUACAAACUCCUCCACCUCCAAAACCAGUAGUGAAUACUUCAUAUACAUUUACUCCUAUAGUUCCCAGUGUUCUACCAAUACAACAAAUUAAACCUACAGAAAUUAUAAAUAUUCAAAAAAAACAAAAUAGCUUCGAUUUGCCUGACAACUGUCCCACUAGUUUGAGGUAAUUAAAAUAAUUAUAUUUUAAUAUUGUUAAAAUAAUUUUAUUUAAUAUAGUUCAAUUAUUUUUAAGAGAGUACAUACAAAAGUGUCAAGAUAAAUGUGUUAAUAAGAUAGACCGGGACAGAAUGGACAUUAUUUUAAAAGGAAAAGUAACGAAUGCAAAUCAUGACGGUUCAUUAUGGAUUAAAGAUUGGACUAAAGAACCAAUGCCAAUGUAAGUAUAUUUGGUUUUCUAUAUAAGAAAAAUAAUUUGUUUUAAUACAGAAAUACUAAUUUUUUUAAAAUUUUUAUUAAUUUUAUACUUAAAAGUAUGGUUUACCAUUAAUAAUAAAAAAAAGUAACACAUAUGUUUUUCUUUGUAUAGGUUACUUAGUGAAAAUAUUCCAAUUAACCAAAAUCAGGAAAAUGGUAAAAACAAAAAUUCUAUCAUAAAAAUUGCAUUUAAAAAGUCUACUAAUAAUUAUGUCAACUGUUACUUCACUUCAAAAUUCAAAUCAGGAUUGUCUUGUGCAUCACCUUCACCUACUAAUGAGUAAGUAUUUCAAAUUUGUGUAGUACCUUUAUUAAGUUAUUUUUAUUAAAAUAAUUAUAAUAUGUUUAAAUAUAAUUAUGAAUUAGUUUUUAUACCUUAUAAUCAUAUAAUAAUCUGAAAUAAAAUGAAGAAUCUCAUAUGGCAGUAUCACUUUUAAGUUUUAAAUUAUUUCUAGGUCCAAUAUUGAUGUGAAUAAACAAAAAAAUAGUCCAUUGCGGGAAAAUAAAAAACAAAAUACUGAAGAUUUUAUUUCAUUAAAUACCAAUAAUGAAGAAAAUAAUAACAAAAAAAUGAAAUACACUAAUAAAAAUAAAAAGUAAGAAUCUAUUAUUAUUUUAAAUAUUAAUUUAUAUAAUUAUAAUGAUUAGCCGGGAUCCAAUACAUCAACUCUUGAAAUUCAAACGACAUGUAUCAAUUUUCUUCAGCUAUCAUAAUGGUAUAUUUUUAAAUAAUUAAUAGCUAGUCAAAAACCAUUAUAUAAUUUAAAGGUCUGACUGUCCUUGAUUCGAAGUUUUGUGAAAUAUAUUUUGGUUAUAAUUUGAUUCCGUGGUUUUCAACCGGUGUGUUCUAACCAUUUGAAUAAAUACAAGUCAUCAGUAAAUUAACAUGGUCAAGUGACACAUUUGUAUAGAUCUACAUUUGGGUGUUGUACUUAAAAUAGGUUCAGAACCACUGACUUAACUAAUUAGUCUUUUAGCUUAGUAAGAUACUAUUAAAUCUUUUUCUUAUAAAUAUUGAAAGUAAUAAUACACUUAUCUUGUGUUCGGAAGUUAAUCGUUAUUCUUUUUACUGAGUGAAUCACAAAAUUAUACAUUAUAAAGAAUUUAUUUAACAUUUUUAUUUUUUAUAAAGUGCAAAAUCUCAUGGCAAUCUCAUAUCAAAUACCAUUUAAAAUGUGUUUGAAUAAAAUGGAAAGUUUGAUUUAAGUUCCAUUAAAUAUUUUUUAACCAUUAUGCAAAUAGUAAAUACAUUUAUAUUUAAUAAAAUUAAUUUGGUAUAUUUUUAGAAAAAAAACAUUACAUAUAAUUGUUUAAUACUUUACACUAUAAUGUUUAUAUUCAACAUUUGUUUAUCAUUAUUAAUUGUACCAAGUGUAUUAAUGAUAAUAUAUUACGAGUUAUGUGGUUAAAAUAUUUUAAAUUCCAGACUAUAUAAUGAAGAUGCUCAUUUAUAUCAACAAUAUGGAACUAUUGAUAAUAAACCAAAUUAUGAUAAAAAUGUGUUGACCAAGCGUGCUGCUCGUUUUUCAUCCCAAGGAAAUCCAAAAAAAAAGCCUCGUCAAGUGUUAAAGUUUGAUAAUCAUACACCAAAAUCAAUUACUAAUAAUGAUAUUGAAUUUUAUAUAGAUUCUUGUCAUGUUGUUGGAACAUGCACGGAUUUGGAAAAAAAAUAUUUAAGAUUAACAGCGGUUAGUUGUGUUUGCUAUACUUAUUAUGUUAAUUAUAUUAAUUAAAAUUCCUUGCAUACAAAUUAUAAUUAAACAGGCUCCAGAUGCUGAUGCUGUAAGACCUUUAAGAAUUUUAGUAAAAUCAUUGCAGCAUGUCAAGUCUAAAUGGAUAAAUGAUAGCAACUAUCUUUUUACGUGUGACCAGUUAAAGUCAAUUAGACAAGAUUUAACAGUAAGAUCUGGUAUUUUAGUUUAAUUAUUGUAAAUAUUUUUUAUCAAUUAUCUUCCUUAAAGGUUCAAGGUAUUAGAGAUUCAUUCACAGUUGAAGUUUAUGAAACUCACGCAAGGAUUGCUUUAGAAAAAAGUGACAUGGGUGAAUUUAAUCAAUGUCAAACUCAAUUAUCCGAUUUAUAUGAGGAAUUAAAAGAUAAUCCCAUUGCUCAAAAGCAUCGUAAUGAAUUUCUCUGUUAUAAUAUAUUGUAUUGUAUAUAUACAAGAACUUUAUGUGGUAAUUAUAAUGUUUAUCAUUAAAUUAUUAUUCAUCAUGCACUUAUGAAUUUCUAUAAUUUUGUAUAGAGUUAAACAAUAUCAUAUUGUAUAUCAAGGAGUUUAAUAUCAAAGAUGAGUGUAUAGAUUUUGCAUUGAACGUCAAAGACGCAUGGUGGUUAAGCAAUCAUGUUGAACUAUUUUUUUUGUACAAAAUUGCUCCUAAAAUGGCUGCAUACUUAAUGGAUAUGUUUUUGGCUAGAGAACGCAAUAACUUCUUUUUGGCUAUUGCCAAAUCGUAUGUAUUAAAACAAUUCUUAAUAUACUUAAAUUAAUAUUUUGCAGGGCGUUACAUAAUUUGUACAGGUAUUAAAUGUGCUAUACACUACAUAAUUUUUUUUCAAAUUAAAUUUUUAUGGGUUAAGAUUGGGAUCGUUUGUGUUUGUUUAUGUUACUUAAACUAUUAUAGAUAUAUUCAAUUUAAAAAAAAAUAAUAAUAAGUAAUUACCAAUAAAAUUAAUAAUUCAAAUUAGAUUUGGGUAAUUUAUAUCAUUACAAAUUAAAUAAAUAUUAUUUUUUUAAUGUAUUCUUAUCAUAAUAUUACAUUUUUUAUUAAGUUUUAGUUUUACUGCUUUAUACUAUUUGUUUAAUAUUUCUUGCUAGUUAAUAAUUGCAGAUUUUUAAAGAUAAUUUUAUUAUGAUAUAACAGUUACCGCCCAACUAUUCCAAUCUCGACCAUUCAAGAUCAAAUGGCAUUCGAUAAGCGAGAGGAUUGUUUGGCUUUUCUUAAGGCUGCAGGCGCGGUAUUAACUUCCAAUAAUGAGAACAUCGACUGCAAAGCAAGCUGCGGUUCGACCGAAGCUUGACUUUCAGAAUGGUGUCGUUCCUAUGCCUACAUAACCACAUAUAAUAUAUAUAUAUAUAUAUAUAUAUAUAUAUAUAUAUAUAUUUAUAUGUAUAUGUGUAUAUACAUAUGUUUAUAUAUAUAUAUAUACACACACUAUAUAUGUAUAUUUAUGACAUAUGAUGUAUAUAUGUAGUAUAUGAAAAUUCUCCGUUCAUUUGUCGUCGUAGAAAAGAACCACAAUGGGCUACAAAUUGAUAUUCUACUUCUAAAAAUAAAUCUUACUACAUCUAUGAAGUUGUUUGAUGAAUCAAAAAUCAGUUAGGUAUGUUAGUCAUGGAGAUUAACAUAUAAUUUAAACAAAAUUUACUCAAUUGGAUUACUUUGCUUUACACAAAUGUUAUCCUUUCGUUGAUGGAAAUGCGACUUCGUUUCCUGCAAAUAUUCAUAAUUUUUUAACUAUUUUCUUUUUGGUCGAUUAUUAUUUAUUUCGAUCUUCAUUGUUCUAUUGGCUGCUCAUUUUUAAGAAGCGAUCACUAUUUGAUAUUUGUCAUCACAUUUAGUGUGCUGUGAGUAAGUAAUGAGCUGUGCUAGUCACUUCAAGAAAAUGCAUACAUCUUACAAUCAGGGGAAAAAUUUACUCAAAAACUAAAUGUAUCACAUUAACAUGGAAAUAUGUUAUUCGUAUCUAAACUUGAGUUAGGUAAGUAGGUGAUAUGGUGCUGAAUUCUUUGAAAAUCGUACCUAUGUAUGGUGGAAGAAAGUUAAACGGAUUUCAAGUUCACUGUGGAUCAAUUUGUAAAUUGAAAUAAUUGGAAACAUUAUAAUUAAGUUUUGUAUAUAACUUAUACAUUCAAAACAUUGUUUCCAAUACUUUUUUCUUAUGUCUAAUAAAUCAAUCAAUUUUAAUAUUAUAAUCUUAUAACAUUGGUAUACUAAACAUUAUAAUUUAAAUUGGAUAACUCAAGGAUAAUUCAGUGAUACAAAUUGUUUUACGGCGAAGAUUGAAAUAAGCCAUGUAUAAUAUGUAAGCUUACAGUUAUUAUUAUAAUUAAAUAUGUUUCAUAUAUUGUGUAUCACAUUUAAAAAUGUAAUCUUGGACAAAUACACUUUAUUUCAGUAAUACAAUUGAAAAGGUCCAAUAUUAUAAAAAUAAAUUUGUAUGAAUUAAAUAAAUAAAUCAAUCCAAAACAGAAGGAGGCAUAUAUAUAUAUAUAUAUAUAUAAAUAUAUAUAAUAUAUAUAAUGUUAAAAUGUUAUAACUGGUAAGAAUAUUUUUUAUUAAAGUUGUAUACCUUCACUUAUGUUUCUUAAGUUUCAUAAUUUGUAUUGUCAACUUUUUACUUUAUUGUAUUUGAUUGAACAUAAUAUUUAAUUAAAGUGAUCAAAUAUUUUUGUUACAUGAAUUAUAAUAUUGUAGUCAAUAUUCAAAAAUAAUUUAGUAUUCACCAAAUAUUUGUUGAUUAGUGGUUAUAAAUAAUUUAUUUUAUAAUUCAAUUGUUUUGUUUGUUUAUAGAAUACAUACAGGUUUUGAACAAAAAGUUUGGUAGUAAUUCAAUGAAAUAUUCAUUAUUCCAUAGUCAAUAAUAACAGGAUUGGUAGUUUGAAGAUUUAUGGUUCAAGUGUUCUUCAAAGUGAACAUUUUAUGCUUUUGUGGUUUUUUUUUCUUUUUAGUUAAUUUUUUUCUUCGACGUCUAAUCUGAACAAUACUUAAUUUAAACUUUGUAAAUAGAUGCAUUAUACAUGUAUAAGUUGCAAUUAAUUAUCAUAUUUUUAUGUAAAUAUAUUUUAAACAAAUAAAAUAAACCUUUUAUUUA
rnacentral:lncRNA from 1 species